GAGAGGCGCCCCCCGGCCCGCUCCCGCCCGCGCUGCCUUUCCCCGGCCUGCCGAUCUGGCCCGGAGUGUCUCCAGAAAUCUUUGCUAGUAUACCAUCUCUGCAGGUCAGCAUAGUGUGCCCAUGGCCCUCAAAAGAUGAAGGAGGAAUCCUGGAGUCAGAAACUGGCUUCUGAUCUGUCAGUCUGCUUCCUGUGAAAUCAGCUACCUCCUGAAUAUGUAUGUGCCAGCUUAGUAGCUCAGUGAAAAAUUGGGUAUCAUACAUGCCCUAGGAGAGCUGUCAGCCUGUCCCUGCUUCAUUUCAGUUGUGCUGCA
rnacentral:lncRNA from 1 species